rnacentral:rRNA from 1 species
AUUGAACGCUGGCGGCAUGCCUUACACAUGCAGGUCGAACGGUAACAGGUCUUCGGAUGCUGACGAGUGGCGAACGGGUGAGUAAUACAUCGGAACGUGCCUAGUAGUGGGGGAUAACUACUCGAAAGAGUGGCUAAUACCGCAUGAGAUCUACGGAUGAAAGCAGGGGAUCGCAAGACCUUGUGCUACUAGAGCGGCCGAUGGCAGAUUAGGUAGUUGGUGGGAUAAAAGCUUACCAAGCCGACGAUCUGGAGCUGGUCUGAGAGGACGAUCAGCCACACUGGGACUGAGACACGGCCCAGACUCCUACGGGAGGCAGCAGUGGGGAAUUUUGGACAAUGGGCGCAAGCCUGAUCCAGCAAUGCCGCGUGCAGGAUGAAGGCCUUCGGGUUGUAAACUGCUUUUGUACGGAACGAAAAGCCCUGGGUUAAUACCCUGGGGUCAUGACGGUACCGUAAGAAUAAGCACCGGCUAACUACGUGCCAGCAGCCGCCCGUAAAAC